rnacentral:rRNA from 1 species
UACGUAGGGGCGAGCGUUGUCCGGAAUCAUUGGGCGUAAAGCGCGUGUAGGCGGCCCGGUAAGUCCGCUGUGAAAGUCCAGGGCUCAACCCUGGGAUGCCGGUGGAUACUGUCGGGCUCGAGUCCGGAAGAGGCGAGUGGAAUUCCUGGUGUAGCGGUGAAAUGCGCAGAGUAUCAGGAGGAACACCGAUUGCGAAGGCAGCGCGCUGGGACGUA